AGUAGUCAUACGCUCGUCUCAAAGAUUAAGCCAUGCAUGUGUAAGUAUAAAUAAUUUUACUUUGAAACUGCGAAUGGCUCAUUAUAUCAGUUAUAGUUUAUUAGAAAUAUUUUACUACUUGGAUAACCGUAGUAAUUGUAGGGCUAAUACAUGAGUAAAACCUCAACUUCGGAAGAGGUGUGUUUAUUAGUAUGAAAACCAUAUAUCUUCGGAUAUAAUAGUGAGUAAUAAUAACCUUUCAUAUCGUAUGUCGUAAGAUAACGAUAGUUC
rnacentral:rRNA from 1 species